UGUGUGGUGUCCAUACCCUACCAGUGGGUGUACAUGAAUCAGCUCUCCCCUUCCACUGAGGGUUCUAGGUGUCCACCCUGAGUCCACAGGGCUUCCAUGGCCAGGACCUCUUCAUACUGAGCCACACAGAAUGUAUAUUGCAUUCCCACAACUGAGUGCUUUAAAUAAGUAAAUAACAGCUGGAGGACAAGUGGGUGGAGACCGAAUUAAACUAAACCUUAUAAAUCUCCUUCACCUCCACUCUACCAGGACACAAGCCUUGAGAAGAUUAGACAGCUUUUGGAUUUUCUAGUCUCCACCCUCCACAGAGUGGUCCUCAGUGUGUCACCCAGGACUCCCAGAGGGUUCCCAGGGCCCUAUGGUGAACAGCACUAGUGGGUAAAACUGCUGGAACCUCAGCCUGGGUCCAGGCUGUGGUACUCUGCUCCUGCGGCCACGGGCUCCUUCAGUACUGUACACUUGGUGUCAAGGAAAGGAAAGAGAGUACCGGUCACAUUUAAGACUGUCCUCGAUAAGCCAGUAUAAAAAAAUACUAAUUUUUAAUUUCAAAUUGUUUGUAUUGUUAUUGUGGAGGGUAUAUACAUGAUCUGGGAUGGGGGGCAGGGGCCGCAUGCCAUUGAUCACCUAUGAAGAGCAGAGAACAACAUGGUAGAGUCAGCUCUCUCCUUCCACCUUUAAGUGGGGAUGCAAGAAUCAAACUCCAGACUCCCAUGUUAAGUGCCUUUAACUGCUGGGCCCUUUUGCCAGCCCUAACUUUAUUCAGUUUUGACCACUGAGCACAUGCCUUUGGUGUGCUCUCUGAAAAGCUUUUGCUUCAUUGUGAAGUACCAGUCAGUCUCCGGGGACAGAGUGUUAUACCCUGGUCUGCAUCAAGGGUUAGGUUGGUUCUUACAUGGAGAUCCCUGUGCCUUGACAGAAGGGCUGACUGUGGUUAUUCCGAUUUGGGGAUGUGUCACGAAGGCUCUGUGAAGUGAACCAAGUGUCUGUCACUCAGAGGGGAACAGUCAGCUGUGUUUCUUGUCAAUACGUUGUUCAAUCUUGCAUGCAGAAGUGACGGGCUUGGAAUACGUGGGCCCAACCCCAUGAUUGACCUGAUACUUAGAAGCUGCUCUGGUGUUGGGGGGCGGGGAGCUAACCAUGUUGAGGCCUUGAGAUGAUUGCUGCUGAUUAAAGAGAUGUGUCACCCCUUGGAAAACUACAGAACUCGGUGAACCAACCCCAUGCCUGUGAAACCAAUACAGGGGAUUACAAAACCUCAGCCACAGGACAAGAUAGAGCGACUGAUUUGAAUCUGAGCAGAACAUGAAGUCACUGGUGUGGUUUCAGGAUCCAUAUUCUAAUUAAUCGAUGGCUGGCACGGGUGGUUCCCGCCUCUAACUCUAACUCGGCUCUAGUGAGGCAGGAAGUCUGUCAUUAGUUUGAGGCCAGCUGGUCUCCAGAGUGAAAUCCUGUCUCAAAAACAACCAACCUAAACC
rnacentral:lncRNA from 1 species